rnacentral:lncRNA from 1 species
GGCGGUGUUCAUGUAUUUCCCCAGUCUAUAUUCUUUCCCGAUAUAUAUAUAUACUUUUAAACAAAUAGUGGGAGGACAAUUUCACAACAUCUUGACAUAUAUAUCGGAAAAUUCAUCUAUUCAAGGUUAUGUAAACAAAUUGAAUUGCAUCGGAUGCGGCUGGCUGCACAAAGUUCAUUGACAACUUACGAUGCUCGUUCAGUUGCACUAAGAAUCGUGAAUCGUAAACAAUCCAUUAGGUUGCACUCUUAAGUUUGUGAGCAAUUGUAUGAUAUAUAUUCAUCGUUGUUCUAAUGGACGAUUUAAAAUAUUUCCAUUGUAUAUGGUCAAUCGUCAAAGCGAUUUUCUCCGGAGGAAGAAGGAUGAAUUAUUCAUAAACAUUCUCAACCCGGGAUUAAGGAUGUACUU